CACCCACCAGGCAACGUCCAGCUCUGUAGCAACCUUGCAAAACGUUUUGUAUUCCCAACGAACCUUGUCGCAGAAAACUAUGCAUGGUUGAAUGAAUAAAAUCCCCCCAAAAUAGGCCCAUCUUUGGGUUAAUUCUGCAUGGAGGAGGCUGACGUUGGUUGACAUUAUAUUAUUAUUAUUGGGGAUGAAAUAUAUGUAUUUGGGUUUACAUGCACGACUCCUACACCCUGCAAGAAAUGUGCCCUUAAUGCUCCAUCCCCCUUCAUGGACUUCUUUUUUUUCUCAAUGGGAAAUGGUUUCUUUCCCUGGAUGGGCCACCAAGAGACGUUGUGUUGACAAAAGACCCGCUCCCGGCGGAAUUGGAAAUCAUGAGCUCGAUGUGGGUUCUUUCCUUAUGGGGAAGAGCAAGGAGAUGGACGGCUAUUUGGUUUGGUUUUUCAAGCAUCGCCCUUUUAUGUAACCCCCAUUUUCCUCCUACUUCAGGGGCCCACAUUUUGGCUGUCACUCAAUCCUUGUAUCUUCUUCUUCUUCCUGCAAGAACCCGUUUCCCCUCCAUUUAUAUUUCUUGGCAUGAAGGACAUUAAAACAAAUACUCGAAACCACACCAAAUAC